rnacentral:lncRNA from 10 species
UUAUCUAUUGCUGUAUAACAAAUUGCCUGAAAACAUAGUAACUAAAAAUCACAAAUAUUUAUUAUCCUGCGCGGUUACUGAGGGACCCUCGGAAACUUGAGAGCAGCCUAACUGUGUAGUUCUGGCUCAAGGUCUCUGGUGAAACUGCAGUCAAGUUGUCAGCCAUGGUUGUAGGCAUCUCAAAGCCUGACUGGUGGUAGAUUCAUUCCCAAGAACAUCCCGAGGCUGUUGGCAAGCCACCGACGUUCACUGCCUAUACCCCAGGGAUGUCGGUUUCCUGCCUCUAUGGGCUUCUCCAUAGGCUGUCUGAGUGGACUCACUCCAGCCACUGGCUUCCCCCAAGGGGAAGUGAUGAGAGAGAGAUAGGGUCAGGGAGGGGAGGAAGGCGAGGGAGAAAUCCAGCCAGCACCCAAGACAGAGGCAUGCUCUUUUCUACAGCCUCCUCUCAGAGGAGCUGCCUCCCCACCUGCCACAUCACCCAGAAGCAUUGCUAGGCGCAGCCCCGCUCCAGGGGAGGGGACUCCGUAGGGGUGUGCAUCCCUGGGGCCAUCUCAGAGCUGCCAGGCAGACACUGUGAUGAGGAGAAUGCAGAAGGAGCAGAGAGUGUCUUCUGGCUUCAGCCCCCUCCAGCCAGGAGGAAGAGGUCAGAGACCCCACACAGUCCCUGUGGACUCCAGGUCUCACACCUGACUUAGAAAAAAGAGAAAUUCUUGGGCCACACCAGGGGCUUCUUGUGAUUUGCUUCUUCCUGCUGGGGCCUGAGUCCCUCUGAAGUGUUCUGUGAGUUGUGGCUGUGUUCACGUCUCUCCGUCAGCCAGACUGUGGGUGCCGUGUCCCUGAGCCUGGGCCUCCCUCCGGCCUUUUGCGAUCUGUGCAUUCCCUCCAGACGGCAGCUCCUCACUCCCAGGGCCCCUCUACUGGGGCACCAGCAAGGAGGGAGGCAGAGGGGCCAGGCACUGAGUAGGGGAGGGGCUGGCAGGGACCCUCUACCUGGCCCCUUGGGAAGGACACAGACCCAGAUGGAGCCUGUCCCCUCGACACCUGGCCUGGGCCCCUCCCCAGCUCUGCUGGAAUAAAUCCUCCUGUAACAACCUCCCGCUGCUGUCCCAGCGUCUGAAGAAUGAACACAGCUCCCCAUAACUUUCCAGGCGC